rnacentral:pre_miRNA from 1 species
AUUGAGGCUUUGCAAUCGAAGAGUAGUUUUGAUAUGCUCUUGGCUUGUAAAGUGUCAACAU